rnacentral:rRNA from 1 species
UGGGCGAAAGCCUGAUCCAGCCAUGCCGCGUGUGUGAAGAAGGUCUUCGGAUUGUAAAGCACUUUAAGUUGGGAGGAAGGGUUGUAGAUUAAUACUCUGCAAUUUUGACGUACCGACAGAAUAGCCCCGGC